GCGAACGCUGGCGGCAUGCUUCACCCCUGCCAGUCGCACGGGCAGCAAUGUCAGUGGCGGACGGGUGAGUAACGCGUAGGAACGUGUCCUGAGGUGGGGGACAACCCCGGGAAACUGGGGCUAAUACCGCAUAUGGGCUGAGGCCCAAAGCCGAGAGGCGCCUUUGGAGCGGCCUGCGUCCGAUUAGGUAGUUGGUGGGGUAAAGGCCUACCAAGCCUGCGAUCGGUAGCUGGUCUGAGAGGACGACCAGCCACACUGGGACUGAGACACGGCCCAGACUCCUACGGGAGGCAGCAGUGGGGAAUAUUGGACAAUGGGCGAAAGCCUGAUCCAGCAAUGCCGCGUGGGUGAAGAAGGUCUUCGGAUCGUAAAGCCCUUUCGACGGGGACGAUGAUGACGGUACCCGUAGAAGAAGCCCCGGCUAACUUCGUG
rnacentral:rRNA from 1 species